AACGCAUAUGGCACCUGCCAGCCCUGCUGGAAGGUAUGCCUGUUUGAGAAUCACACUAUCACUGAUCCGAUUGCACCACUUGCAGUCGGUCGACAUGGGCCUUCAGCACUGAUCGCCUCGAAUUGUUCGCGAUCGUCGUGGUAGACAGGGUGUGGCAGUGAUGCCGUCCAGUGUUGUCGACGAUCAACCCGUGCUCGUGAUCUCAAAUCAGGCAAGGCUACCCGCUGAACUUAA
rnacentral:misc_RNA from 1 species